GGAGCACAGGAGGAUCAGCACAUUGUACAAAGCAAAACACACAGCAAAGCCUUUUCUGCAUCUCUCAUGCCACUGAAGAGCCAUCACUCUGAUCAGAAACUGAAAUCCUGCUUUGUGCUCCUCCAGUGUGGAAAUCUGUCAGAAAUGGCUUCAAGCAAGCCCAAAACACCCAACAGCAAAGCAGAUGACACGGCACAAACCCCAGCCUUUUGCUCAAGCCAGCUGAGACACUGAAGUGAGAAAGGAUGUUGAGUUUCAUCCCUGCUGAACUGAGAAAUAACGCAUGUGAACUGACAUCGCUGCAGAUCUGGGGAGGCUCGGAAAAUCCCAACGUUGAGAGCCUGAACUUGGGAAAAACAGCCUCACUUUUCUCAGAAGAAAAGAUGAAUCCACAGAGUAGAUCUUGCCACAGCAGAAGGAACAUGUGUCACGGGAACAGCAGAGGCAAAAUGUGUCAUGGGAAAAUCUUGACGGAUUCAGCCCAGGACGCGAAUAUGCAAAUUGAGACCAAAUUAAAUGCAAUUGAGCAAGAUAACACAUAUCCCAGCAAUGAAGAAAACUCACAGCACACUCGCAAAAAAGAUGGAGUUUAAAUCCAAGGAGGGGGGUCUGAGGAUGUCUAAGCAGUCCCCAGUGACUAAAUUUUAACAGGAAUAUGAAAAUUUCCCCAAAAAAGAGUCAAGAAAGUGUUGCAGGAAUCAAACAAGGAGCAAGUGAAGUGCAAGGGCCCAUUACUGAACUCGGUGGAAGAGGUGUAACCUGCCCCCCAACACAGCAACAAAGCACAGAUACUAAAUAAUAAUAAUAAUAUAGUUUUUCUGCUAUUAAAAAGUCAUCCUGUAGC